rnacentral:rRNA from 1 species
UGCCAGCCGCCGCGGUAAUACGUAUGUCUCGAGCGUUACCCGGAAUCACUGGGUGUAAAGGGUUCGUAGGCGGCUUGGAAAGUUGGAUAUGAAAGACCGGAGCUCAACUCCGUGUUUGUGUUCAAAACUAACAAGCUAGAAUUAGGGAGAGGUUAGCGGAAUUCUAAGUGUAGGGGUGCAAUCCGUAGAUACUUAGAGGAACACCAAAAGCGAAGGCAGCUAACUGGAACUAUAUUGACGCUGAGGAACGAAAGCGUGGGGAGCGAAAAGGAUUAGAUA